rnacentral:rRNA from 1 species
AGUGAACGCUGGCGGCAGGCUUAACACACGCAAGUCGAGCGGGCGAGGUUGCUUCGGUAACUGAGCUAGCGGCGGACGGGUGAGUAAUGCUUAGGAAUCUGCCUAUUAGUGGGGGACAACAUUCCGAAAGGGAUGCUAAUACCGCAUACGUCCUACGGGAGAAAGCAGGGGAUCAUUUGACCUUGCGCUAAUAGAUGAGCCUAAGUCGGAUUAGCUAGUUGGUGGGGUAAAGGCCUACCAAGGCGACGAUCUGUAGCGGGUCUGAGAGGAUGAUCCGCCACACUGGGACUGAGACACGGCCCAGACUCCUACGGGAGGCAGCAGUGGGGAAUAUUGGACAAUGGGGGGAACCCUGAUCCAGCCAUGCCGCGUGUGUGAAGAAGGCCUUUUGGUUGUAAAGCACUUUAAGUGGGGAGGAGGCUUACCUGGUUAAUACCUGGGCUAAGUGGACGUUACCCACAGAAUAAGCACCGGCUAACCCUGUGCCAGCCGCCGCCGUAA